rnacentral:lncRNA from 1 species
GCGGUGGCGCGGGGCGGGGGCAGAGGGCGGGGUUGUGGCGUAGCGGCGUCCCGCGGUUCCGAAGGUUUGUGGGCGUGAUAUGUUGGGCGUGGGACAGGUGACGGCAAAGGUCGCAAGGCUGGAAUGAAGCCGCCGUCCGCUGCAAGCAAGCCUUGAGCGGUCACGAAGGCUCCCCGUUGCUCAAUGCAAACAGCUCGGUGCUGGGUGCUUGGGCAAUGCCUGCAAUUCAGCGCCCAGAAAGUCUGGAAGAUUAGCCGAGCCGAUCCUCGGUGUCAUUUGCGGCGUAACAGGUGAGAUCUGCUUCCAGAAAUCAUUGCAUUCCAGUGCAAGUUGUGUCGGUCAAGGUCUUUCUCUGAGAUGGUUACAAAGUGCUGGAGAAGUAUCCUCCUCUCAGAGUAGAUCAAGAUAGAUUGGAAGUGAUUGCCAAACGAGCCGUACUUCU